rnacentral:rRNA from 1 species
GGGCUUGACAUCCCACGAACCUGCCCGAAAAGGUGGGGUGCCCGCAAGGGAGCGUGGAGACAGGUGGUGCACGGCUGUCGUCAGCUCGUGUCGUGAGAUGUUGGGUUAAGUCCCGCAACGAGCGCGACCCUCACCCCUAGUUGCCACCGGGUUAAGCCGAGCACUCAAGGGGAACUGCCGGCGUCAAGCUGGAGGAAGGCGGGGAUGACGUCAAGUCAUCAUGCCCCUACGCCCUGGGCUACACACGUGCUACAAUGGCCGGUACAAAGGGACGCGAGACUGCGAAGUGGAGCUAAUCCCAAAAAGCUGGUUUAAGUUCAGAUUGCAGUCUGCAACUCGACUGCAUGAAGGAGGAAUCGCUAGUAAUCGCGCAUCAGCCCGGCGCGGUGAAUACGUUCCCGGGCCUUGUACACACCGCCCGUCACACCACGAAAGCUGUCUGUACUCGAAGUCGCUGAG